rnacentral:rRNA from 1 species
GAUGAACGCUGGCGGCGUGCCUAAUACAUGCAAGUCGAGCGAACGGACGAGAAGCUUGCUUCUCUGAUGUUAGCGGCGGACGGGUGAGUAACACGUGGAUAACCUACCUAUAAGACUGGGAUAACUUCGGGAAACCGGAGCUAAUACCGGAUAAUAUUUUGCACCGCAUGGUUCAAAAGUGAAAGACGGUCUUGCUGUCACUUAUAGAUGGAUCCGCGCUGCAUUAGCUAGUUGGUAAGGUAACGGCUUACCAAGGCAACGAUGCAUAGCCGACCUGAGAGGGUGGUCGGCCACACUGGAACUGAGACACGGCCCAGACUCCUACGGGUGCCAGCCGUAGGGAAUCUUCCGCAAUGGGCGAAAGCCUGACGGAGCAACGCCGCGUGAGUGAUGAAGGUCUUCGGAUCGUAGAUCUCUGUUAUUAGGGAGGAACAUAUGUGUAAGUAACUGUGCACAUCUUUACGGUACCUAAUCAGAGAGGCACGGCCAACUACCUG